AGCAAUGUUGCUGGGUAUAUUUAAAGGUUUUCAGAAGGUGACAAUUGAACGAGACUCGCAGACUGUCAUCAGGUCUCCAAUGAAGUAAUGCUGCUAUGACUAUUCAAGGCAUUAUUGCUAACAUCAAAGUGUUAUCGGCUUCUUUUGAGUCGAUCUUUUUCAACUUUGUUAAGAGACAUUGUAAUAAGGCAGCUCAUUCUAUUGCUUCAACGCUCUUUGAGCUCUAUCUUUCUUGUGUAAUCCUGUAGAGUAAGUGCUCUUUAUUAAUAAACG
rnacentral:misc_RNA from 1 species